AUACUUAAAACAAAACAAAAAAUUGAAAUCUUCAAAACCUGAACUCGUUCCUGUCUCUCUCACACAAAUAGAGAAAUCAAACCCCAAAUUAGCUACGAACCCUAAAUCCCAAAUCCCCCAAACCGUAAAUCCAUCCCUGUAAACCAAAUUCAAGCUGCAUGAACGUCAUUCUAUCUCGUUGUCAUGCUUCGAUGCAAUCGCAGUAGAAGUUUUUUUGAGUCGCGACAAGUGCUUCUUUUCACCACCAUGGAUAAUAUUCAGCAACAAUCAAUGGGAAGGUCAACAACUUGGAGAUGGAGCUAGAUGUUUUCAGGGGCGGGAAUGCAGCCUUAAUGCACCACUUACUAGAAAUUUUUGUGAAUAUCUCAAGGGGAAUUUGCUAGGGGAUUCAUGUAGGUCACUUACAACCUAUUUUUUGUGAUUAUCUAAGGAAUUGUAAUACAAUUUUUAGAAACAUAGGCAUCCAAGUUUAUGUAAUUAUGGUACAUUAUCCCAUUGAAGUGUUGUAGUGUCUUGAAUAAUGUAUUCCUAUUCGUUGAUAUGGAAUGUAAAGAAGUAAUUUUGGGUAUUGACUAAUAUAAAUCCAGUUGGUCCA